AGCGUACACGGUGGAUGCCCUGGCAGUCAGAGGCGAUGAAGGACGUGCUAAUCUGCGAAAAGCGCCGGCGAGGUGAUAUGAACCUUUGACCCGGCGAUGUCCGAAUGGGGAAACCCAGUGCAAUUCGUUGCACUAUCGUUAACUGAAUACAUAGGUUAACGAGGCGAACCGGGGGAACUGAAACAUCUAAGUACCCCGAGGAAAAGAAAUCAACCGAGAUUCCCCCAGUAGCGGCGAGCGAACGGGGAGCAGCCCAGAGUCUGAAUCAGCUUGUGUGUUAGUGGAAGCGUCUGGAAAGUCGCACGGUACAGGGUGACAGUCCCGUACACGAAAGCACACAGGCUGUGAACUCGAAGAGUAGGGCGGGACACGUGGUAUCCUGUCUGAAUAUGGGGGGACCAUCCUCCAAGGCUAAAUACUCCUGACUGACCGAUAGUGAACCAGUACCGUGAGGGAAAGGCGAAAAGAACCCCGGCGAGGGGAGUGAAAAAGAACCUGAAACCGUGUACGUACAAGCAGUGGGAGCACCUUCGUGGUGUGACUGCGUACCUUUUGUAUAAUGGGUCAGCGACUUAUAUUCUGUAGCAAGGUUAACCGUAUAGGGGAGCCGAAGGGAAACCGAGUCUUAACUGGGCGUUAAGUUGCAGGGUAUAGACCCGAAACCCGGUGAUCUAGCCAUGGGCAGGUUGAAGGUUGGGUAACACUAACUGGAGGACCGAACCGACUAAUGUUGAAAAAUUAGCGGAUGACUUGUGGCUGGGGGUGAAAGGCCAAUCAAACCGGGAGAUAGCUGGUUCUCCCCGAAAGCUAUUUAGGUAGCGCCUCGUGAACUCAUCUUCGGGGGUAGAGCACUGUUUCGGCUAGGGGGCCAUCCCGGCUUACCAACCCGAUGCAAACUACGAAUACCGAAGAAUGUUAUCACGGGAGACACACGGCGGGUGCUAACGUCCGUCGUGAAGAGGGAAACAACCCAGACCGCCAGCUAAGGUCCCAAAGUCAUGGUUAAGUGGGAAACGAUGUGGGAAGGCACAGACAGCCAGGAUGUUGGCUUAGAAGCAGCCAUCAUUUAAAGAAAGCGUAAUAGCUCACUGGUCGAGUCGGCCUGCGCGGAAGAUGUAACGGGGCUAAACCAUGCACCGAAGCUGCGGCAGCGACGCGUAUGCGUUGUUGGGUAGGGGAGCGUUCUGUAAGCCGUUGAAGGUGUGCUGUGAGGCAUGCUGGAGGUAUCAGAAGUGCGAAUGCUGACAUAAGUAACGAUAAAGCGGGUGAAAAGCCCGCUCGCCGGAAGACCAAGGGUUCCUGUCCAACGUUAAUCGGGGCAGGGUGAGUCGACCCCUAAGGCGAGGCCGAAAGGCGUAGUCGAUGGGAAACAGGUUAAUAUUCCUGUACUUGGUGUUACUGCGAAGGGGGGACGGAGAAGGCUAUGUUAGCCGGGCGACGGUUGUCCCGGUUUAAGCAUGUAGGCGGAGGUUCCAGGUAAAUCCGGUACCUUUUAACGCUGAGGUGUGAUGACGAGGCACUACGGUGCUGAAGUAACAAAUGCCCUGCUUCCAGGAAAAGCCUCUAAGCAUCAGGUAACAUCAAAUCGUACCCCAAACCGACACAGGUGGUCAGGUAGAGAAUACCAAGGCGCUUGAGAGAACUCGGGUGAAGGAACUAGGCAAAAUGGUGCCGUAACUUCGGGAGAAGGCACGCUGAUAUGUAGGUGAAGCCCCUGCGGGUGGAGCUGAAAUCAGUCGAAGAUACCAGCUGGCUGCAACUGUUUAUUAAAAACACAGCACUGUGCAAACACGAAAGUGGACGUAUACGGUGUGACGCCUGCCCGGUGCCGGAAGGUUAAUUGAUGGGGUUAGCGGCAACGCGAAGCUCUUGAUCGAAGCCCCGGUAAACGGCGGCCGUAACUAUAACGGUCCUAAGGUAGCGAAAUUCCUUGUCGGGUAAGUUCCGACCUGCACGAAUGGCGUAAUGAUGGCCAGGCUGUCUCCACCCGAGACUCAGUGAAAUUGAACUCGCUGUGAAGAUGCAGUGUACCCGCGGCAAGACGGAAAGACCCCGUGAACCUUUACUAUAGCUUGACACUGAACACUGGUCCUUGAUGUGUAGGAUAGGUGGGAGGCUUUGAAGCGUGGACGCCAGUCUGCGUGGAGCCGUCCUUGAAAUACCACCCUUUAAUGGCUGGUGUUCUAACGUAGACCCGUAAUCCGGGUUGCGGACAGUGUCUGGUGGGUAGUUUGACUGGGGCGGUCUCCUCCCAAAGAGUAACGGAGGAGCACGAAGGUUAGCUAAUCCUGGUCGGACAUCAGGAGGUUAGUGCAAUGGCAUAAGCUAGCUUGACUGCGAGAGUGACGGCUCGAGCAGGUGCGAAAGCAGGUCAUAGUGAUCCGGUGGUUCUGAAUGGAAGGGCCAUCGCUCAACGGAUAAAAGGUACUCCGGGGAUAACAGGCUGAUACCGCCCAAGAGUUCAUAUCGACGGCGGUGUUUGGCACCUCGAUGUCGGCUCAUCACAUCCUGGGGCUGAAGUAGGUCCCAAGGGUAUGGCUGUUCGCCAUUUAAAGUGGUACGCGAGCUGGGUUUAGAACGUCGUGAGACAGUUCGGUCCCUAUCUGCCGUGGGCGCUGGAGAAUUGAGGGGGGCUGCUCCUAGUACGAGAGGACCGGAGUGGACGCAUCACUGGUGUUCGGGUUGUCAUGCCAAUGGCACUGCCCGGUAGCUAAAUGCGGAAAAGAUAAGUGCUGAAAGCAUCUAAGCACGAAACUUGCCCCGAGAUGAGUUCU
rnacentral:rRNA from 1 species